AUUACUGAACCAUAUUAUAUAUUCUAUUUGGCAAAUGCUAUGUAAUCAAUCAAUCGGUGGUCAUGAACUACACCGGGUCGUACAGCGCGACUAGCUCGACCUUAAAUAUACCUACUCCUAUUGAGAUGGGGUGCCUAUCUCUCCGGUCCGUCCGGUGAGAAAGUCAACUGUGGCCACUUUUUUGGUGGUUGCCUUUGGCAAGGCUUAAAUAGGCGGAUUCACAUGACCGCGUGGCUUUUCUGAUGGAUGUCUGUGUGGGUCGGCUGCAAUAACCCGAUCCCUGUCUCUGUCGUUCAGCUACUUGCAGACUUGUCUGUUGACAUUGGUUGUGUACGAUCUGUCUGCCCCGGCGGCCGCCUUUGGGCGACGUCACGGGUACCUAGACUGCCAUGUUGCCUGGGCACGCUAAAUAGUGUGUUUCUGGGGGCGGUGUAGUACUCGACUGGUUCGCUUUAUUUCAAGUCGUAGCCAGUCUCGAGUGCCAGGUACAAUGAGUCCACUCGUAUGUGUACAACUAUGUAGACUGUUUGGACCGCCCGUAUCAUCUAUUCUAUCACACUGUACUAUAGCCUUCUCUGAAUCGGCUUGCCGAUUCUCGUGGGUCCCUGUGUGUUUGUGCACAGGUGGUCGCCUGUCGGGGCCUCUCGACAUGGUAGAUCAUAACGGCGUUGAGGUUCACGCACUCUAUGUGUGGUCCUUUCCCAGA
rnacentral:misc_RNA from 1 species